UCAGAUUUAGUGACUCCAGUGAAGCAGCAUUUCCUUCAGGCUCCAUCUUCUCUAGGUCACAGUGAUUUCCUCCAAGAAAGUGAGAUGUUAUUGACCUAGUGCAAGCAGCAUUGUGACGUAUGACAGUCUCUGAAUGAAAAAUCCCUCAAGACUGUGCCUCAGUGACUACAUGGGUAAGAGGAAAAUUCAUAACAUCAGUGACCAUUCAGUAAAUAUUGUGUUUGUGCUCAGAUUCAUGCAAGCAGAUGACAUAAGUUAUCAUCUUAUAUGACAGGAACAAAUCAUCCAUCAAAGUCUUGUAAUGGACUGCAAAUGUAAAAAAACUAGUAAAAAGUCAAAUGAAUGGAGGGGGCAUGCCAAAGAUGCUCUUUGCUUUGGGCCCUCAGAAGGUCUAGGGAAGGACCUGGUCAUGCAUAUGAGAGUCAGUUGCUGGGUUUUGUCUCCUUGUCACGUUGUAGCAUAACCAAGAAAUGGAACCCUGGAAAGUGCUAUAUGGAACUCACUGGACUUUAUUCUUAGGUGUUCCUGUCGUGGUUUGUGGAAGUUUGCGAGAGUGGUAAAAUCUGCCCUCCCAAUUAAGACCACCAAUUACUGGAGUUACUAUAUGAAAGUGCAAUGAGCUUCUGUGUACAAAGGACAGAGUAAAGAGAUGCAUUGUGUUCCCUCAAG